ensembl:lncRNA
UCAGCAGGACAGCCUCGGUCAGGCGUCUGUAGCAAGGCGCGCAAGAUCGGAGUAUCCAGCCGCAGAGAGCACAGAGGAGACCUGCCAGUCCCGUACAGGUGUCCUCUGUCAAGAGCUUGUGUUGUCUUGCCUGUGGCAACUACAGCAGGAAAGGCGACAACGUUUGGAUCUUUGGGAGAGACCCAUGGGAGAGAUGUCAGUCGGUGACAAGGGACCGGUCCGUUCCCCAAAGGGGACAGCGGAGAAGGGGUGAUAAUGGUGGUGAUAGGUUGAAUAUUACUUCCUCAAAUACAUAGUAUUUCUUUACAAAUAUUGUAAGAAAAUGAGAGCACAGUUAACAGACGUCUUUCCAUUUAAUAAAUAUGAUUAUAAAUGCAUAAAAUGAUUACACACAGCACAGUUGAGGUCAAACAAAAACACUGUAACACCUUACCGUCUGUUCUUAUACAAAAGCUGUACAGUAAUAAAACUCUUUUUUUUUCUAAUUGUUAUUAAUAUUUAUCUAAAAAAAUAACAAUCUUGCUAAUUCUGCGGGGAGGAAGAUAUAGAGAGAGGGAAAGAGCAAGAAAGAGUAGCUGAAAGCUAGUCUGCAACGUGAUACUGUUUUGCACGCUAUCGGGUGCUGUCACAUCACAGCUCCUAACCAGGAGGUCAGUGUUAGCAGGACUUCCUGUCUGUUGGACCUUUCCUGCUGCCAGUGAACCCAGAGGCAGAAGGUACUUUUAUCUUGACGGACCUCCUGAUCUCGUCUGGCCCGUGUCAUUUCCUGUUCCCUGGGGUUAAGGUUAAUAUUAGCAUUCUAGCUGCCCUGACCGUAGGUCUGAGGUUACAGGCUACUUCUAGUAUGUCUCCCUCAAGCUGUUAAAGUCAGAGCCAGGUCCCUUUUUUAAAUCUGAAAUGUGAAUUCAAUCGGUACUCAGUACGUUACAUCCGCACUUUGCAAAACUUUCAAAUAAAUCUUUAUUUCCUCAAUUAUAAAAAAAAUCUAAUUAUUAUUGUAUUGCUACAUUGCUAGACAUUUCAUUGAUGUUGCUAAUUUACAAAACUCCAACCACCAGUAUGUAAAAUGACCCUUAUACACCAUGCAAUGGAACAAGAUAGAUCACCUCAUAGCUCAGUGCAAAUUCUGUCCUGCAACCUGGAAGAUUGAACACACACAGCUACAAUGAAGAUGAACGCAGAGUUGAUACCAAAAUCAUCUUAGCAUGCAGCUUUGAAAUAUAAACGCUUCAUUUCAACAGAAUGAUCAAACCUCAUCAAAAAAAGAUUAACCACUGUAAUUGAGGGCAGUACACCGGCAGUAUCUUGACACCAUUUAGUCGUAUGGACUACAAUACUUGAGUUUCAACAGGAUGCCAGUGGCACUGUCCACUGCUCAAACUACUCAAAGACUAAAAAGUUGCACAAUUGCGCAACAUAAAGAAGUUGGGAACUUGACUCUGUUCAACUACAAAAAAUAACUUAAUGGAGGGAAAGCUGAUCGUCAUGGUCAAAGGCUUCCCCAAUUCUCUACGAUAUAACCUUAACAAGCAACAGGGACUUGAUUAAGAGGAACAGUGCAUGGCAGAUCGCUCUGGAAAUACUACUAGACUACUAGAGACAACACAAGAACAUAUUUGUUUCUUUAUGUGGUAGCACACUGCCAGGAUACACCACCAUCCUAAUUGUAUCACAGUCACUCCUCAGAGCGACAGACUCCACCUUCUUUAAUUUGACUGUUUCUUCUGUCUGACCAGCACAUCUGGAAGCAUAACAAUCUGAUAACACUGCCAUGCAGCUGUUUGCUAGUCACACAUAGCUUGCUUGCUAGAUAGCAUUACAUACAUUUAGGAACAAGGGCUGGAAUAACCCACAUAUCUGCAUUUUAUUAGAUUAUCAUCAACUAAGUUAUACACAGUGAACCUGGAGCCUGAAGGUCCUCCCAAGGUUCUGGGCCCUUGGGGCAUAUACCCAGAUUGUCUGUUUGGUAGUCCAACCAAC